GAGGAAAGUCCGAGCUCCACAGGGCAGUGUGCUGGAUAACGUCCAGCGAGGGUAACCUUAGGGACAGUGCCAUAGAAAUUUAGACCGCCGAUUCUGUCGGUAAGGGUGGAAAGGUGCGGUAAGAGCGCACCAGCAGUCGGGUGAUCGGCUGGCUUUGGUAAACCCCACAUGGAGCAAGACCAAAUAGGGAAGGAUCUCCGGCGGCCCGUCGGCCUUCCGGGUAGUGUCGCUUGAGACGCUUGGCAACAGGCGCCCCAGAUAAAUGAUUGUCACCGCCUCCUUUUGGCGGAACAGAACUCGGCUUA
rnacentral:RNase_P_RNA from 1 species